ACCUUCACUCCCUUCCUCUUCCUCAUCUUCUCAGCCGCAGAGGGUUGAACCCGCCGCCUCCAGAAGCUACUCCAAACCCCCAAAUUUUAUCCCAAAUCCAAAGAAGCCCCGAAAUCCCAAUUCAGUUUCACGGAGUCAGGGUGGCCUGCUGGUCAAACUGCAGUGAAGAAAACUGAGGUGGGUUCGUCCAACGGUCAACUGGUGUCUGUGCGUAUUGUUGAGACAGCAACUGGGCAGCAACAAGAACAUGAAGAGAAGAAGAAGAGAGAAUCGCUGUUGGUGGUGUUCCGGGGGAAGACGUUGGGGCAUCGGAGUCCAGCAAAGCCCAUUACGAGGAUGAUGAUUGUGAUGUGGUGAGUAGAAUGGAAGAGUUGUAGGUCGUUGUCGAAUUAAUGAUCAGGCUUAGGAGGAUGAGGUCCACUUGCUGAUUGGAAAUCCCAGCACCUGCUAUCAAUCUAUCUACCGGAAGUUCUUAUGGUUAAUCAAAGAGAGGGAAAAAAGUCGACUUUUGUAUCUCUCUCCAGUUGUUUUGGAAUUCAUUUGCAUAAACACUCAUCUUUGAUUUGUUCAUUUUCUCAUUACCUCUUUUCUAUAUUUGAUCGUUGAGGUGGUGUGUGCUUUAGUUUGGCCUUUUGUUUAUGAAUUUCAUAAAAUCAAAAAAUCUGCUGUGUGCUGAGUUUUAUUGGCGUAAAUCUAUUGAUGCCUGGUUUU
rnacentral:sRNA from 1 species